rnacentral:lncRNA from 1 species
UUCAAAUGUUAGUGGUGACACUGCCAGAACCGUGCUUACAGCCUAUUAAAAAAGGCAUUUACCUAGGACUCCCAACUUUUAUAAAACUUUUAGGACCUUUAAUUACAAAAAAAAAUUUACAUGGUAGUUAAUGUAUUCUUUUAGUUAGAUUUUUAUUAUUAUUUGAUUCUAAAUUUGACUUCUGUUUAAAAUAACUAAUUUGUGAUCAAUUUUACUAUAUUUUAUAUAAAACUAUAAAGAUUCUACUUCAAAUUAACUGCAAAUA